ACAAAUAUAUAAAUGAAUAGCAAAUGCUGACGUCACAACCAUACCCUCCUCUCCAUUUAUCUCUCUCCCACACUGCGUUGACAUCAAGACUCUCACUCUAUCUCUCUCAUAUGAAGGCGAUGCGAGGUGCACGGAACUGCCAAAACGACGCCGUGAGGCUCGACCUCGCCGUCAUCCCUUCUCCUCCGCCGCCGUCCGCCGGAGCCGCGAGCCUUUCCAUCGACGGGGAUGAGACGGCGGAGACGAAGAUCCAACGGCUGAUAUCGGAGCAUCCUGUGAUCAUCUUCACCCGAUCCUCCUCAUGCUGCAUGUGCCACGUCAUGAAAAAGCUCCUCUCCACCGUCGGAGUCAACCCCACCGUCAUCGAGCUCGACGACGCCGAGAUAUCCGCCGCCGCAACCGUCUCUCACGCGCCUCUUCCUCCGGCGAUCUUCAUCGGCGGCGCGGGCAUCGGAGGGCUCGAGUCGCUCGUCGCUCUCCACCUCAGUGGUCACCUUGUUCCUCGGCUCGUCGAGGUCGGAGCCCUCUGGGCAUAACUGUAAUUUCACUUAAUCCCGAUUCCUCCUAGUUUUAUUUAUAGUUACUAUAUAUAAUUAAAGCAUGCAAUAAAUCAAUGCGGUUUGUAAAUUUUAUUAGCUUGAUCUCUUAAAUUAUGCCCGAAAAAAAAAAAAGGGAAACAUCGAUCUUGUUUGGUUCGAUCUUUAAAUUACCGAGUAAUCUAUAAAAUCAUUGGAAAACAUCUAUUUUCCCAUGAAUCAAAUUGAUUGUUCUUUUUCCUAUUUGGCACCAA